rnacentral:rRNA from 1 species
GACGAACGCUGGCGGCGUGCUUAACACAUGCAAGUCGAACGGAAAGGCCCUGCUUUUGUGGGGUUCUCGAGUGGCGAACGGGUGAGUAACACGUGAGUAACCUGCCCUUGACUUUGGGAUAACUUCAGGAAACUGGGGCUAAUACCGGAUAUGAUCUCCUGCUGCAUGUUGUGGGUUGGAAAGUUUCGGCGGUUGGGGAUGUACUCGCGGCUUAUCAGCUUGUUGGUGUGGUAGUGGCUUACCAAGGCUUUGACGGGUAGCCGGCCUGAGAGGGUGACCGGCCACAUUGGGACUGAGAUACGGCCCAGACUCCUACGGGAGGCAGCAGUGGGGAAUAUUGCACAAUGGGCGGAAGCCUGAUGCAGCAACGCCGCGUGCGGGAUGACGGCCUUCGGGUUGUAAACCGCUUUCGCCUGUGACGAAGCGUGAGUGACGGUAAUGGGUAAAGAAGCACCGGCUAACUACGUG